UUGAUUGUGAUAACAUCAGAGCUGGUGUUUUCCAUUCAGCCUUCCAUUGAGACGCUGAAUAAGAUCCUGAGAGAUCCUUACUGUACAGCUGAUUAGGAGAGUAUGGAUUAUUUACCCUUCUGAAACUGAAGUAAGAAUUCAGAACACUUGCAGUAAUCAAUUGCAACCGAGUCACAAAAUGAAGAUCUCUCCUUUGGCUGUAUUGAACUGUGCACUGUUUGUCCUCACCUUCCAGGUCACAGUUACAGAUGAAGCAAAAUGCAGUGUCACUGGCCAAGUAGCAGAAUGUAUAUGCCAACAAAACUAUACUUGGAGUGGCCCUGUAUGCAUGUUGUACCCGGAAUGCUGUUUGAAUGAAACAUUCUGCAAAAUGAUUGUAUCAAAAAACACAAUGAUGUGUCUAUCUAAGGAAAGGGUAACUGUGAGGGGAACACUUAUUAUACCUGGCACAUUUACAGAAGAUCUUAAUGACAUUAAGAGUGUUGCCUACACAAACCUUUCAAAAAAGAUUGGA